rnacentral:rRNA from 1 species
UACGGGGGGGGCAAGCGUUGUUCGGAAUUACUGGGCGUAAAGGGCUCGUAGGUGGCCAACUAAGUCAGACGUGAGAUCCCUCGGCUUAACCGGGGAACUGCGUCUGAUACUGGAUGGCUAGAGAUUGGGAGAGGGAUGCGGAAUUCCAGGUGUAGCAGUGAAAUGCGUAGAUAUCGUGAGGAAUACCAGAGGCGAAGGCGGCUACCUGGACAAUUGCUGACGCUCAGGCACGAAAGCGUGGGGAGCAAAAGGG